rnacentral:rRNA from 1 species
ACAUGCAAGUCGAACGGCAGCACGGGGCAACCUGGCGGCGAGUGGCGAACGGGUGAGUAAUAUAUCGGAACGUACCCAAGAGUGGGGGAUAACGUAGCGAAAGUUACGCUAAUACCGCAUACGAUCUAAGGAUGAAAGCAGGGGAUCUUCGGACCUUGUGCUCCUGGAGCGGCCGAUAUCUGAUUAGCUAGUUGGUGAGGUAAAGGCUCACCAAGGCGACGAUCAGUAGCUGGUCUGAGAGGACGACCAGCCACACUGGAACUGAGACACGGUCCAGACUCCUACGGGAGGCAGCAGUGGGGAAUUUUGGACAAUGGGCGAAAGCCUGAUCCAGCAAUGCCGCGUGAGUGAAGAAGGCCUUCGGGUUGUAAAGCUCUUUUGUCAGGGAAGAAACGGGGGUGGCUAAUAUCCCUCCCUAAUGACGGUACCUGAAGAAUAAGCACCGGCUAACUACGUGCCAGCAGCCGCGGUAAUACGUAGGGUGCAAGCGUUAAUCGGAAUUACUGGGCGUAAAGCGUGCGCAGGCGGUUUUGUAAGUCUGUCGUGAAAUCCCCGGGCUCAACCUGGGAAUUGCGAUGGAGACUGCAAGGCUAGAAUCUGGCAGAGGGGGGUAGAAUUCCACGUGUAGCAGUGAAAUGCGUAGAGAUGUGGAGGAACACCGAUGGCGAAGGCAGCCCCCUGGGUCAAGAUUGACGCUCAUGCACGAAAGCGUGGGGAGCAAACAGGAUUAGAUACCCUGGUAGUCCACGCCCUAAACGAUGUCUACUAGUUGUCGGGUUUUAAUUAACUUGGUAACGCAGCUAACGCGUGAAGUAGACCGCCUGGGGAGUACGGUCGCAAGAUUAAAACUCAAAGGAAUUGACGGGGACCCGCACAAGCGGUGGAUGAUGUGGAUUAAUUCGAUGCAACGCGAAAAACCUUACCUACCCUUGACAUGUACGGAAGCCACGAGAGAUCGAGGUGUGCUCGAAAGAGAACCGUAACACAGGUGCUGCAUGGCUGUCGUCAGCUCGUGUCGUGAGAUGUUGGGUUAAGUCCCGCAACGAGCGCAACCCUUGUCAUUAGUUGCUACAUUUAGUUGAGCACUCUAAUGAGACUGCCGGUGACAAACCGGAGGAAGGUGGGGAUGACGUCAAGUCCUCAUGGCCCUUAUGGGUAGGGCUUCACACGUCAUACAAUGGUACAUACAGAGGGCCGCCAACCCGCGAGGGGGAGCUAAUCCCAGAAAGUGUAUCGUAGUCCGGAUCGCAGUCUGCAACUCGACUGCGUGAAGUUGGAAUCGCUAGUAAUCGCGGAUCAGCAUGUCGCGGUGAAUACGUUCCCGGGUCUUGUACACACCGCCCGUCACACCAUGGGAGCGGGUUUUACCAGAAGUAGGUAGCUUAACCGCAAGGAGGGCGCUACCACGGUAGGAUU